rnacentral:tRNA from 1 species
GGGGCUGUAGCUUAGGUGGCAGAGCACUUGCCUAGAAUGCAUGAGGCACAGGAUUCAAUCUUCAGCACCA